GGUUGUGGCUCAGUGGUAAAGCACUUGCCUAGCACGUACAAGGUGCUGGGUUCGAUCCACAGCACCA
rnacentral:tRNA from 1 species